rnacentral:rRNA from 1 species
AUUGAACGCUGGCGGCAGGCCUAACACAUGCAAGUCGAACGAGUGGCGGACGGGUGAGUAAUGUCUGGGAAACUGCCUUAUGGAGGGGGAUAACUACUGGGAACGGUAGCUAAUACCGCAUACCAUCGGAUUUGCCCAGGUGGGAUUAGCUAGUAGGUGGGGUAAAGGCUCACCUAGGCGACGAUCCCUGGCUGGUCUGAGAGGAUGACCAGCAACACUGGAAUGGGGACAGGGUCCAGAUCCCUAGGGGAGGCACAAGUGGGGAAUAUGGCACAAUGGGCGCAAGCUGGAUGAGGCACUGCCGCGUGGAUGAGGAAGGCUUUCGGGUUGUAAACUACGUUCAGCGGGGAGGCGGUAUCCGACCAAGAAGCAACGGCUAACUCCGUGCCAGCAGCCGCGGUAAUUC